AUACCCUACACCCUACCAACUGAUGGUGACGCCAGCUUUACCAUAAACCGUAGGUUGUAGUUUAGUAGGUAAGGUUAGGUCAGGUUAGAUAAUGUUUUGUUCUGUUAGACUAGGUGGGUAUUUGAUUAGAUUUAAAAGCGAAUUUUGUGUAAAUGUCGCAAGAACUGGAGAGUCUAGCGACUUCACAAAUGGGUGGCAGCAUGUGAGAUGCCUGCUAUAUGAAUACCAGAAAGCCUUCUCUAUGCCUCAACCCCCUGUUCUGGGCUGGGCGGACACUUUCAUCCCAUGUGGGAAGCUCCCCUAGGAGCAUACACGGAGCCAGGUGCAGUGUCAGGGACAGGGUGCCCUGUUCACUGGAUGGGCUCAGCCCCAAUGACUUGUACCAGGGUGUUUGCCCAUACCAAUAGCUCCCCCUAAUUCCUAUCAUUCCUCCAACUCUGUAGUCUUUUUGGGCCAAAACUUGAAAGGCAACCCAACAAAACUUUAAAUUGAUUUUUAACUUGUGGCAUAGUACUUACUAUUUUGCCAGUCUGACAACAUCCCAUUACUGCCUUGACUGGCUUUCUUCUCUCUCAGGCUGAUCCUGUGUCACAGAGCCACAUAGAUGAGCAGCUACCCAUCGUAGGAUGCACACUCAACCUCCUGCUAGUUUCUGAGCCAAGUCAGCUUGACAGAGGGGUCUGCUAAUGCACAGUCACCUAGCCACUGCUAACAGAUGCUGGCUGGGACAGACGCUCAUCAAAGGUGUGCCACACGACAUGGGCAUUCUCGUUCUGCAUCAAGCCUCAAGGCUCGUUGCUGUCGGCGGUUCUGAAGACAGCGGUGCGAUCCAGCUGAAGGACGUCACCUGGCAGGAAGUUGUAGAGUGUGGUGGCCAGUAUCAAGCCACAUUGUUCAGAAACCAUCACAUUAUCUCCAGGUCACUAGUCGCCGGUGCUCGAGCUGACGGCGUCGUUCAAGGGCUCCACGGUGACAAGCGCCGUCACCGCUGCCGCCGCCGCCGAGACCAUCCGACUCCUGGGCCCUGUUUCACGGCAGCGUACUGCAGCGCGCUACGCAGCGCUGCUGUGUUAGUGCGGCGAUUGAGACGAAUUCGGCUCGACGCUCCAGCGUUGCGAAACACCCGUGUCUAUGAAGGAUACGCCGAUACGUCUUCCAGCUUCAAGCCCUUCCCGCCCCCCCCCCCCCCCCCCCGCCCCGUCCCAACGGUGUUGGCCGAGAUUGGGGUUGGUAUUUUAACGGGCUCUCCGAUGACGUCCCGCAAUUUGUGUUAUGUAAUUUGACGAUUAUGUCGUAGUCUCAUUCUGUCUCGAUAUGCUAAUAAAUGAUAAAUGGGACGGAGGUUGGAAGUAAGGUGUGAGUGGCUGUAACCGGCAGGUUUUGGCGAGCGCGAUAUUAGUUAUUGUGAGCGCGCCAGCUGCAUUAAAUCGCGCGCUUCUGGCGAGAAAAUACUUGCUCUGGAACCUAGAAGUUUGUCGUGAAAUCUAUGUGCCUUUGGAUUGAAUUAUUAGAACAUAAUGUACUUUCGGUGUCCAGCACUGCAGCUCUGGAAAUAGAAAUAUGGAUGUUGGCUGUUUGAUGUAGCAAGGGCUAACAAUCUGCGUCAAGAAUCAAAAGCUGUAUGCAAAUUAAAGUGAAUAUAUUUCAUUUAUUCAAUGAAUUUUUAAAUUUUGUGAUACAAAACAUAAAUGUGUCAACUACUGAUUACACCCGGCUGCAAACACUGUAACGCUUGCAAUGCUGUACGGCAAAUAAAUAAUAUAGAUUCU
rnacentral:lncRNA from 1 species